AUUGAACGCUGUCGGCAGGCCUAACACAUGCAAGUCGAACGGUAACAGGAAGCAGCUUGCUGCUUUGCUGACGAGUGGCGGACGGGUGAGUAAUGUCUGGGAAACUGCCCGAUGGAGGGGGAUAACUACUGGAAACGGUAGCUAAUACCGCAUAACGUCGCAAGACCAAAGAGGGGGACCUUAGGGCCUCUUGCCAUCGGAUGUGCCAGAUGGGAUUAGCUAGUAGGUGGGGUAACGGCUCACCUAGGCGACGAUCCCUAGCUGGUCUGAGAGGAUGACCAGCCACACUGGAACUGAGACACGGUCCAGACUCCUACGGGAGGCAGCAGUGGGGAAUAUUGCACAAUGGGCGCAAGCCUGAUGCAGCCAUGCCGCGUGUAUGAAGAAGGCCUUCGGGUUGUAAAGUACUUUCAGCGGGGAGGAAGGGAGUAAAGUUAAUACCUUUGCUCAUUGACGUUACCCGCAGAAGAAGCACCGGCUAACUCCGUG
rnacentral:rRNA from 1 species